UAUAGUGUUAUGAUAGAUUGUGCUAUGUAUGAUGAAGGUAACCCAAUCAUGGAUUGGUUGUGCAACUCAAGGAGUGAGUCUACGCCUAUUCUUGAUGAGUAUGAUGACAAUGAGCUUGAAUCCCCAAUCCCAUCUAGAGUUCUCAUGGAUGAGUUAGGAAUGGAUGUAGAAGUGACCGCAUUGAAGAGGAAGCUUGAUUUUAAUACAAGAGAAGGUAAGAAGAAAAGAAAGGCAGGACUUGUUGAUAUUGAGGAAGAAAUUGAGGAUGAUGUUGAGUCAGAUUCUUCAGAUGGUAGCCCAAUAAAUGUUGAAUUAUGUGAUAGCAGUUCAGAUGAUGAUGGCACAGGUGAUGAGUUUGGUGACGAAUGGGAAUUUAGAGGACCUAGUGGUGGUGGAGCAUGUGAAGUUGGACCUAGUGGUGGUGGAGCAUGUGAUGUUGGACCUAG
rnacentral:misc_RNA from 1 species